AUCUUGAUUUGCAGAGAUGGCUACAUCCCUCUCAGCAGUUUCAGAGAUAUGCUUUGGAAAAAACGCUUCAGACCAGACCUUUCCCCUCCCUUCACCAUGAUUUCUGGGAAAUUGUUCUUCAUACUGCAUAUUUGUGGAUACUCAGACAAAAUCACUUGCCAUCUGCUGUUGUGCAGAAGAGCUGCUGUGACAGAUCUCAGAGAUGACCUUGUCUCCCCCACACCAACUUUGCUGCAGCUUCAAGCUGUGUCACAGCUAAAGGUGGACUUGGACAUCACAGGUGACCACUGGGAUGGCUUUUUUCAAGAAAAACCCUGA
rnacentral:lncRNA from 1 species